GGGGAAUAUUGGACAAUGGGGGCAACCCUGAUGCAGCAAUGCCGCGUGUGUGAAGAAGGCCUUCGGGUUGUAAAGCACUUUCAGUAGGGAAGAAAAUGACAGGGUUUAUACACGAAAGUCUUGACGUCUCCUACACAACAAGCGCCGGCUAACUCCGGGCCACCAGCCGCGGUAAUACUGAUGGUGCGAGCGUUAAUCGGAGUUACUGGGCGUAAAGAGCGCGUAAGCGGCUUGCUCAAUCGGAUGUCAAAGCCCUGGGCUGAACCUGGGAAUUGCAUUCGAUACUGCCUGGCUUGAGUAUGGUAGAGGGAAAUGGAAUUUCCUGUGUAACGACGAAAUGCGUAAAUAUCGGAAAGAACACCAGUGGCGAAGGCGACUUCCUGGACCAAUACUGACACUCAGGAGCAAAAGCGUGGGGAGCAAACAGGAUUAAAUACCCUGGUUG
rnacentral:rRNA from 1 species